CCUACGGGGGGCUGCAGUGGGGAAUAUUGGACAAUGGACGAAAGUCUGAUCCAGCCAUACCGCGUGUGUGAAGAAGGCCUUCGGGUUGUAAAGCACUUUCAGUUGGGAGGAAGAUUAAGUAGUUAAUACCUGCUUAGUUUGACGUUACCUUCAGAAGAAGCACCGGCUAACUCUGUGCCAGCAGCCGCGGUAAUACAGAGGGUGCAAGCGUUAUUCGGAAUUACUGGGCGUAAAGCGCGCGUAGGCGGAUUAGUAAGUCAGUUGUGAAAGCCCUGGGCUCAACCUAGGAACUGCAUCUGAUACUGCUAGUCUAGAGUUUAGUAGAGGGAAGGGGAAUUCCAGGUGUAGCAGUGAAAUGCGUAGAUAUCUGGAGGAACAUCAGUGGCGAAGGCGCCUUCCUGGACUAAAACUGACGCUGAGGUGCGAAAGCGUGGGUAGCGAACGGGAUUAGAUACCCCGGUAGUC
rnacentral:rRNA from 1 species